AUGCUUGCUUCGGCAGCACAUAUACUAAAUUUGGAACAAUACAGAGAAGAUUAGCAUGGCCCCUGCACAAGGAAAAAAAAAAGAAAAAAGCAUUUUUAAUAGUUUCU